UGGGGAAUAUUGCACAAUGGGCGAAAGCCUGAUGCAGCAACGCCGCGUGAGGGACGACGGCCUUCGGGUUGUAAACCUCUUUUAGCAAGGAAGAAGCGAAAGUGACGGUACUUGCAGAAAAAGCGCCGGCUAACUACGUGCCAGCAGCCGCGGUAAUACGUAGGGCGCAAGCGUUAUCCGGAAUUAUUGGGCGUAAAGAGCUCGUAGGCGGUUUGUCGCGUCUGCUGUGAAAACCCGAGGCUCAACCUCGGGCCUGCAGUGGGUACGGGCAGACUAGAGUGCGGUAGGGGAGAUUGGAACUCCUGGUGUAGCGGUGGAAUGCGCAGAUAUCAGGAAGAACACCGAUGGCGAAGGCAGAUCUCUGGGCCGUAACUGACGCUGAGGAGCGAAAGGGUGGGGAGCAAACAGGCUUAGAUACCCUGGUAGUCCACCCCGUAAACGUUGGGAACUAGUUGUGGGGUCCAUUCCACGGAUUCCGUGACGCAGCUAACGCAUUAAGUUCCCCGCCUGGGGAGUACGGCCGCAAGGCUAAAACUCAAAUGAAUUGACGGGGUCAUAGCUGUUUCCU
rnacentral:rRNA from 1 species